rnacentral:tRNA from 3 species
GGAGGGUUCGCAUAGCGGUCUAGUGCGCCACCUUGGAAAGGUGGUAUGGGAGCAAUCUCAUCGAGGGUUCAAAUCCCUCACCCUCCGCCA